UGGGGCGUCGCCAAGUCGGUAAGGCACAAGACUUUGACUCUUGCAUUCCAUAGGUUCGAGUCCUAUCGCCCCAGCCA
rnacentral:tRNA from 1 species